rnacentral:rRNA from 1 species
UACAGAGGGGGCAAGCGUUGUUCGGAAUUACUGGGCGUAAAGGGCGCGUAGGCGGCCUGCUAAGUCGAACGUGAAAUCCCUGGGCUCAACCCAGGAACUGCGUCCGAUACUGGUUGGCUUGAAUCCGGGAGAGGAUGUGGAAUUCCAGGUGUAGCGGUGAAAUGCGUAGAUAUCUGGAGGAACACCGGUGGCGAAGGCGGGUCUCUGGGCCGAUAUAACGCUGAGGAGCGAAAAGCGUGGGGAGCGAACAGG